AUACUGCCAUCUGUCUGAAUCUCAGCAUCCAGAAAAUAUUCUCUGCUCUCAAGGAAUUAUGAGAUUAGACUGGCUCACCAAGAGACAGGGUCUCAUCAUGUUGCCCAGGCUGGUCUUGGACUCCUUGGAUCAAGCAAUCCUGUUGCCUCAGCCUCCCAAAGUGCUGGAUUACAAGCAUGAGCCACUGUGCCCAGCCUUAAGUUUUUUUCAUACAGGAGGAAAGAAUUUGGAAAAAAAAUGGACUUAGACUUCCCACAAGCCUUCCAGAAAGAACUCACCUGCCUCAUCUGCCUGAAUUACCUCAUAGACCCCAUCACUAUAGGCUGCGGGCACAGUUUCUGUAGGCCCUGCCUCUGCCUUUGCUGGGAAGAAGCACACACUCCUGCCCUGCAUGCAGGGAAUUGUCACAGCAGGAAGAUUUCAACCAAUAUUCUUCUGAGGAAUCUAGUGUCCAUUGCCACAAAAGCCAGUCUCUGGCAAUUCCUGAGCUCUAAUGAACAAAUGUGCGGGAUCCACAGGGAGACAAAGAUGUUCUGUGAUGUGGGCAAGAGCCUGCUCUGUUUUCUGUGUUCUAACUCUCAGGAACACUGGGGCACAGAAACACUGGCUCACUGAAGGGGCAGCUAAGGAACACUGUAGAUGAGGUCUUCCUUUAUUGAACAAGCUGGUCUCCAACUCCUGGCUUCAAGUGAUCUUCCCACUUCUGCCUCCCAAAGUGCUGGGACUACAGGUGUGAGCCACCAUGCCCAGCCAAGUUCUGCUUCUUAACCUGAGAUAAACACAAUCUGGGAAACAUUUUAUAAUACAGAGGGCCACACCAGAUUGAAUAUUGCCCCCAGGAAUGAAAUGAAAACAGGAAUGGAUUCUCCAGUAAGAGGUACCCAGAUAUCCUAAUCUUCAGUAGCUGACCUAAACCCUGGACAAGUGGGAUCAAAUCCCAUAACCAAACACAACUUUUUAGGAACUAAGUGGAUAAUCACUCUGUGUUGUAUGAACAUGUGGGCAGUGUGUUUCCUACACAGCUUAAAAGUGCAACAAAAAAAGAUCUAGGUGUCAUAUAAAGAAUUUCUACCACUGUUAGGGUAAUGGUGGACUGACAGGCAGAGGGGCUCAGAUGUGACUUAAGUAAAGUUCAAUAGAAGCUUCCAGCACAGAUAUUCAUGUUUCAAAUUGGACCGCUCAGUUAAAAAGUUUUCCCAUUAGACUUCCCCUAAUCAAAUUAGAAAUUAUCUAAUUUUCUAAUAAAGUUUUCCCCAGGCACAA
rnacentral:lncRNA from 10 species